CAGUAGCCACGGUAAUACAGAGGAUGCAAGCGUUAUCCGGAAUGAUUGGGCGUAAAGCGUCUGUAGGUGGCUUUUCAAGUCCGCCGUCAAAUCCCAGGGCUCAACCCUGGACAGGCGGUGGAAACUACCAAGCUGGAGUACCGUAGGGGGACCUGGAACUUCCGGUGGAGCGGUGAAAUGCGUUGAGAUCGGAAGGAACGCCCGUGGCGAAAGCGAGGUCCUGGACGUCUGCUGUCGCUGAGACGCGAAAGCCAGGGGAGCGAACGGGAUUAGAUACCCCAGUAGUCCCUGUCUCUUAUAC
rnacentral:rRNA from 1 species